AUGAGUCGGUGGAAGAUUCAGCCAUUCAAGCUGAUUCCAGAUCUCUUGCUACGUUACUUUUGAUACGUGAUAUUCAGGCAAAGCGUCUCCCAUAUAGAGAGNNNNGGUGACCCAAGUUCACCGAGGAAGCUUCUCACAAGGCUCUUGGAUUGGGGAGAUGCAACAGGCUUCUGAUAAAUCAGUAAUAAUCAGUGAAAUUCUGGACCCUAGGACUAAAAAUCUGUUAUCCAUGUCAAGAAUCAGUGACUAUGUUUUAUCAAAUGAACUUGUCAGCAUGGCAUUGGCCAUGGUUGCAGAGGAUAAACAAAUAAAUGACGUAUUGGAAGAGCUCUUUGCGGAGGAGGGAAAUGAGAUGCAUAUAAGGCAAGCAGAUCUCUACCUUCGUGAAGGUGAGGAAUUGAGCUUCUAUGAAAUAAUCUUACGAGCCCGACAGAGGAGAGAGAUUGUCAUCGGUUACCGUUUGGCA
rnacentral:misc_RNA from 1 species